CUGGGCUUCAACUCCACCACGCUGCCAGAUCGUAGACUCAGCUACACACAUUCUCCGACCCGACUCCUGCCUCUGACCCUCUCCUGCUCCGCCUGGAAACUGCUCUGGACCUGCAAAGCUCUCCCAGACUCUCUGGACUCCCUGUGCCUAGGUUCUCUGAUCUUGCCCUGUUCAACUGCCCUACUUCAAUCUCGAGCCUCGGACUCCAGCUGCCAGCCUCAACCUUCCCUUGGUUCCUCCUCACCAAGCCUCUGCUCCCCUCCAACCUCAAGGACUCUACUGCCCCAAACUCACGAACAACCUCAACCACUAUGCAGGGAAAAGAAAUUCAAAAAUAUUCAAUCUGGUCUGAUUUGUAUGUUCAGCAAACAUGUCUCAUACUCCAUCCGGGGGUUCUGCAUGCCCUGCUGUCUUAUCAGUUAACCAGGCUCUUGUUUACCUCUUCAUUUUUACAAAUUGGAGUAAUCUAGUGAUUAGUUGAGACACCAAACCAUCUGAGAAGUUAUGUGAGGAAAUAUUUUGUAUUUAACACCAAGUCAAGUCAACUGUCAGCUUGUCAUCACACUCAACACAAAUGACUGUCAACUCUAUAACAUA